rnacentral:lncRNA from 10 species
UUAAAUGGACUAUUCAGGCAAUUGCCUGUGAGCUUAGAGUGACAUACACCCUAUUCCCUUAAAUGUACUACUGGUAGUCAUGUGCUCACUAUCUCUGCCUUACUCUUGAUUCCUGCCUCCAGUGAACCCAGGAUGAAGGAGUGUUUCGACUCAUCUGACUCAUUAUGCCUUCUUUGCCCUGGAUCUGUGAAAUGUUCACCAAGACAGACAAAUGUAGAUGGAUUUCAAACUUUUUGGGACAGAGCAAAAGCAGUGUUUGGAAGAGAAUGGACAAUUUUGUAUGGUUAUAUUAGAAUCAAAGAAAUAAGUGAUAUAAACAUUAAAAGCUAAUCUCCAAGUAAUUAGAAGGAAAAAUAUAAUAAAUAUAAGAAGAUAAAUUAUUAAAAAAUAGAAACAAGCAAUACAGAAAGUUGGCAAAGACAAAACUUGUUUCUCUUUACUAGUCAAUAAAUGAAGGGGUAAGACAAAAUUUACCAAUAUGGGUAAUAAAAUGAGGAUGUCACUGUAGAUUUUAUAAUGUUACUACAAAUGUAACCAAUUAGAAGUACAGAAGUUCUAAUGAAAUAAUAUUCUCAAGAUGAAAUAAAAAGUCUCGAUAGCUCUGUAUCUAUUAAAGCAAUUGAUCUUACAAUAAAAAAUUUUCCACAUAGGAAUCUCCUAGACCAAGUAGUUUUAAUAGUAAAUUUUAUCAUUUAUGAAUAGCAGAAAUAAUACCA